rnacentral:rRNA from 1 species
GGUUGUUUCCUGACACUGAAUACACCCAAUCUCAUCUGAUCUGCAAAGCUAAGCAGGGUUGGGCCUGGUUAGUAUUUGGAUGGGAGAUUACCUGGGAAUACCAGGUGCUGUAAGCU